rnacentral:rRNA from 1 species
UACGAAGGUCCCAAGCGUUGUUCGGAAUCACUGGGCGUAAAGGGCGCGUAGGCGGCGUGGUAAGUCAGAUGUGAAAGCCCUCGGCUCAACCAAGGAAGUGCAUCCGAAACUGCUGAGCUUGAGUACUUAAGAGGAUCGCGGAAUUCCCGGUGUAGAGGUGAAAUUUGUAGAUAUCGGGAGGAACACCAGUGGCGAAGGCGGCGAUCUGGGAAGAUACUGACGCUGAGGUGCGAAAGCGUGGGGAGCAAACAGG